CCUAACCGUUUUAACCGUCUGAUUCAUCGACCGGGAAGGGAAGUAGUCCUGAAAGCAGUCCCCAUAUCAGCAUAGAGCAAAUAUUUAUCACACAAAUUACUAUAGCAACCAAGGCAUUAAUAAAGAACUCUAGCAACCAAGGCAUUAAUAAAGAACUCUAGCAAAAGCAAAGAAAGCAAUGGUGAAAAACAAAGCAACAGUUAACCGACAAACACCUAUAUUAAACUUUCUCCAAUCAUAAAACACCUAAUUCAUUUCUAGUUAUUCGGCCGCGUAUGCAUUGAUUCGAGUCACAAUAUUUUAUAUAAUAGCACUUAUAGCGCCAAUAUGAGUUACUAAAUAUUUUGAAACCAAUUCAAAAUCUCAGUAUGCAGUUUCCAUAUAAGUUGCAUAUAUAAAUAUAAAAUGCAUAUUCGUAACUAUAUUCAUGUAAAAAUGAUAAAAAUAUAAAAAGUACUUGACUGACAGAACCUAUUCUUGGUAAGAAGUGAAACAACAUUUCAGCAACCCCAUCAAACACUUGAGCAUUCUAACACCCACAAAUUUAAAGAACAUCUAGAUCAAAAUGCUUUAGCAUGUUUGGCUCAAUUGUUUCAAAGAGGAGUGACACUUCUAGAUCUUUAGGCGUACGUCUACAUUCAAAUCUGAGCAAUAAUUAAGAAAAAGGAAAGAAAAUAAUGGAAGGUAACAACAAACUUUCCUUUAGAAGAAGUUCCAACAAUUUAUUGUUUGUUUCCACCAGUAAGUCUAAAACAAGGACCAAAAUGUGAAACUCAAACACCCAAAGAUUAGCAAGGCUUUUUUCUCUCUUUAACACCCUUUCUGACAUUUCAUUUAUGUUAGGGUGACGGGAAAAUGCUACAAUCAGCACCUAAAUGUAAUCCC
rnacentral:lncRNA from 1 species